UACGAAGGGGGCUAGCGUUGCUCGGAAUCACUGGGCGUAAAGGGUGCGUAGGCGGGUCUUUAAGUCAGGGGUGAAAUCCUGGAGCUCAACUCCAGAACUGCCUUUGAUACUGCGGGUCUCGAGUCCGGGAGAGGUGAGUGGAAUUCCUAGUGUAGAGGUGAAAUUCGUAGAUAUUGGGAAGAACACCGAUGGCGAAGGCAGCCAUCUGGACCGACACUGACGCUGAGGCGCGAAAGCGUGGGGAGCAAACAGG
rnacentral:rRNA from 1 species